UAAUUUAUGGCACUAGAUCUCGUGCAUUAUUUGACACAGGUGCAUCGCAUUCAUUCAUCAGUAGCUCAUUUGCUAAGACGCAUGAUAUUGAGAUUUCGGAUAGUGAGGAUGCCUGGUGGGUGUAUGCCCCUGAGCACACAUUUAGUGUUCACGAAGUGUGUGCGGCGUGUCCAGUACAGGUUGGUGAUUGGAUUAUGCAGCAGAUUUGCUAGUGCUAAGUCGCAUGAAAGACUUUAAUGUGAUCCUUGGGAUGGACUGGCUUACAAAGUACUAUGCCACGAUUGAUUGUGAAAGUAAAGUAAUUACUUUUCGUGAACCCGGGCAAAAAGAAGUUGUGUAUCGGGCGUGCAAGAGUUCGCUCUUUGCGUUAACAGUAUCGACGUCGAGAGCAAGAAAGUUGAUUAGUAGUGGAUGUGCGGCUUAUUUGGCAACAGUUGUGGAGACUCAAAAGGAACUUCCAGUACUUGGAGAUAUUCCAGUAGUUCGAGAGUUUCCUGAUGUGUUUCCUGCGGAGUUACCGGGAUUGCCACCGGAUCGGAAAAUUGAGUUUGUUAUUGAUUUGGUUCCGGGGACGGCGCCAAUUUCGAAGGCUCCGUGCAGAAUGGCACCAGCUGAGUUAAGAGAGCUGAAAGCUCAGUUGCAGGAUUUGAUGGACAAAGGCUUUGUGAAGCCUAGUGUGUCGCCGUGGGGAGCUCCAGUUCUGUUUGUAAAGAAGAAAGACGGAACACUUCGGCUGUGCAUUGACUAUCGCGAGCUGAAUAAAGUCACAAUUAAGAAUAAAUAUCCGUUUCUAUGAAUUGAUGACUUAUUUGAUCAGUUGCAAGGGUCACGGGUAUGCUCAAAGAUUGAUCUCCAAUCAGGUUACCACCAAUUGAAGAUCAAACCAGAGGAUAUGCAUAAGACAGCGUUUCGCACUCGUUAUGGUCAUUACGAGUUUACAGUGAUGCCGUUUGGGCUAACCAAUGCCCCUGCAGCGUUCAUGGAUCUAAUGAAUAGGAUCUUUAAGGCGUUGUUGGAUCAGUGUGUUGUAGUAUUUAUUGACGACAUCUUGAUCUUUUCUCGAAGCAAUGAGAAGCACGAGGAACACUUGAGAAUGGUGAUGCAAAUUCUGCGGGAGAAGUAGUUAUAUGCCAAAUUGAAGAAAUGUGAAUUUUGGCUCCGAGAGGUUGCAUUUUUGGGACAUGUGAUUUCUGACGGUGGUGUAGCUGUCGACCCAAAGAAAGUAGAGGCAAUUAAAGAGUGGCCUCGCCCGACGACUGUUCCAGAGAUCCGCAGUUUCCUUGGACUUGCGGGAUAUUAUAGGCGGUUCGUGGAGGGAUUUGCAAAGAUUACUACUCCACUAACGCGCCUUACACAUAAAGGAACUAAAUAUGUUUGGAGCGAAGAAUGUGAUCGUAGCUUUCGGGAGUUGAAAGAAAGGUUGACUUCGACUCCUAUUCUGGCCUUGCCGAUUUCGGGGGAGAGUUUUGUGAUCUACAGUGAUGCUUCCUAUAGUGGACUUGCGUGUGUACUUAUGCAAGGUGGUCGAGUCAUUGCCUAUGCGUCUCGCCAGCUGAAGAAUUAUGAAAAGAACUAUCCUAUUCACGAUUUGGAGUUGGCGGCAGUAAUCUUCGCAUUGAAGUUGUGGAGACACUAUCUUUAUGGCGAGCAUUGCGAGAUUUAUACUGACCAUAAGAGCCUGAAGUAUUUAUUCACCCAAAAAGAGCUAAAUAUGCGACAACGUCGGUGAUUAGAAUUAUUAAAGGAUUAUGAUGUUACUAUUCUAUACCACCCAGGAAAGGCUAAUGUGGUUGCAGAUGCACUGAGUAGAAAGUCAGUUGAGAACUUGGCUAUGAUGAUCACCCACCAACCGUCGUUGCAGAAUGAAAUGCGACGGUUUGAUCUUGAGGUAGUCGCUCCAGAUGUACCAGUUAUUCUUGCCGCUCUAGUUGUUCAACCGACCUUAUUGGAACAAAUUAAAGAACGGCAACCUUCAGAUCCGUAUCUCCAAAAGGUGCGGUGUGAAGUUGAGAGCGGACGUGGUGAUGAUUUUGCAGUAGGGUCAGAUGGAGCACUUCAGUUUCGCAACUGGUUGUGCGUGCCCAAAGAUGAGGAGAUUCAGAAAGCUAUGUUACAGGAAGCUCAUCAGUCACCUUAUAGUGUACAUCCAGGUGGCACUAAGAUGUACAAGGAUCUUAAAGUGCAUUAUUGGUGGCCUGGGAUGAAGAAGGAUAUUGGGCGGUUUGUGGCGCAGUGUUUGACCUGUCAGCAAGUGAAAGCUGAGCGUCGCUUCCCUGCGGGAAAGUUGCAGAGUUUACCUAUUCCCGUUUGGAAGUGGGAGAACAUUGCGAUGGACUUCAUAGUUGGAUUACCCCGAUCACAGGCUGGACAUGACACUAUUUGGGUGAUUGUUGAUCGACUGACGAAAUCGGCGCAUUUCUUGCCGAUUCAUGCUACUUGGUCAGGAGACAAGUUAGCUCAGGUAUACCUCGACGAGAUUGUGAGAUUACACGGAGUCCCAACGUCGAUUGUAUCAGAUCGAGAUCCGCAGUUUACAUCUCACUUUUGGAGGAGUUUGCAGGAUGCUCUUGGCACACGACUCGAUUUUAGUACAGCAUUUCAUCCUCAGACCGAUGGACAGUCUGAGAGGACGAUUCAGAUUUUGAAGGAUAUGCUACGGGCGUGUGUACUCGACUUCAGGGGUAGUUGACAUGCUUUCUUAGCGAUGGCCGAGUUUGCGUAUAACAAUAGUUAUCAGGAAAGCAUCGCAAUGGCACCAUUUGAAGCCCUCUACGGGAGAAAAUGUCGAUCCCCUAUCCAUUGGAGUGAAGUAGGAGAAACGAUUGUAUUUGGUCUUGAUGUACUCCAAGAAGCGGAGAAAAAGGUACGCCUAGUCCGCCAGAGAUUGUUGACAGCCCAGUCGCAGCAGCAGAGUUAUGCAAAUAAGCGCCGAAAGAACUUGGAGUUUGCGGUUGGCGAUCGAGUAUUCUUGAAGGUGUCGCCGAUGCGUGGGAUAAAGAGAUUUGGUGUUCGAGGAAAGCUUAGUCCUCGAUACAUUGGGCCCUACGAGAUUUUGGAGCGAGUGGGAGCGGUAGCUUAUAGAUUGGCUUUACCGCCGAAGUUCGAGGGAAUACACAAUGUAUUUCAUGUUUCGAAUCUUCGCAAAUAUGUGCAUCAUCCUGGACAUGUUCUCGAGUUCGAACCAGUAGAUUUGCCGGAGAAUAUGACUUAUGAAGAGUAUCCAGUAUGCAUCCUUGAUCGUGAAGUGCGAGAACUACGGAAUCGCACUAUUCCCUACGUGAAAGUACAAUGGAGUAAUCACUCAGGACGAGAGGCCACUUGGGAAUUGGAAGAAACCAUGCGCGACUCCUAUCCCCAUCUAUUUGACCAGGAGGACUAAGCCGAGGGGAUUGGUGGUGCUGCCGAGCUGUUAGAGCUGAGGAAAAGCCUAGGUGAGUUGAUGGUAAAGAGAAGUGGCAGCUUGAGGGCUGAUGUUGUGAGGCUUGUUUGAGCUUAGGGACCAGCUGAGAAAGAGCUGGAACUCGAGAAAAAAUUUCUGUAGAAGCUGAAGUAAAGAGAGGAAGUAUGAGACUGCUAGUUGUUGGGACUCCCUGUUGAUCCGAGCUGAAGGGAUGGCACCAGAGCGUUUAAUUUCUUGCAGUUAGAGCAUCUAAUUAAGUCAAGAAGCCAUGUGGGAAAGUGGGAGUGCUGAAAUUUCUUGGUGUUGGCAGCCUUGAUGCUUGCGGAUUGAGAAGGGGCUGGUCCGAAUAGGGAACAAGUUGGAGAGGCACCUGAGUGAAAGAAUAGAAGGCUUAGUGAAGUUGGUGGAGUUGAAGCCUUGCUGAUCCGAGAUGAGAACAACCUGGUUUAGUACCUAAUUAAGGUUGAUUGAAGUUGCUGAAUUGGAAAUCAGCAAAGUUGCUGAAUUUGAAAUCAGCAAAGUUGCUGAAUUGGAAACCAGCAGAAGGAAAUUUGGAAACUGAGGUCGGGGACGCAUGAAUUACGGUAGAAGCCGUUUAAGCUCUAUUUGCACGGAGUCGCGAGAGCUCGUUAUUGGCAUAGUUCGAGACGCUGAUUCUAACUGUUAGCAUCCCUACAGGUUCCAGCGCGAGCAGUGUGGCCGAGGAUUGCGGCAAAAGCCCAACAGCCUAGCUAGUGGACACUCGAGUUCUAGUGGUAUACCAUUUUGGGUUCAUGUGAUACAUUUUUGAUGUUCAGAGACUUGUAAAUGAAUGUAUAAAAGAGCAUGUAAAUAACUAAAUGUUUCAGUUAUUCAGUUAUGUAUAGUUCAGUUUAAAGUUUUCAAGUUA